AUUUCAGUAUAAGUAUGUCUCAUGAAAUAUUUGGGACAUAACUUAUUCUAAAA
rnacentral:pre_miRNA from 1 species